rnacentral:rRNA from 1 species
AUUGAACGCUGGCGGCAGGCCUAACACAUGCAAGUCGAGCGAGCGGCGGACGGGUGAGUAAUGUAUGGGGAUCUGCCCGAUAGAGGGGGAUAACUACUGGCAACGGUAGCUAAUACCGCAUACUAUCGGAUGAACCCAUAUGGGAUUAGCUAGUAGGUGAGGUAAUGGCUCACCUAGGCGACGGGCCCUAGCUGGUCUGAGAGGAUGAUCAGCAACACUGGGACUGAGAAACGGUCGAGACUACGACGGGGGGCAGCAGUGGGGAAUAUUGCACAAUGGGAGCAAUCCUGAUGCAGCAAUGCCGCGUGGAUGAAGAAGGCCUUCGGGUUGUAAAGUACUUUCAGCGGGGAGGCGUUACCCGAAGAAGAGGCACCGGCUAACUCCGUGCCAGCAGCCGCGGUAAUUC